AUGGGUAUCCAGUUUGCCACAAAAUGUACAUUACCAAUGAACACAAGACAACGUACUUUGGCAGAUCUGACUUGCUCUCCGUCAGUUUCAAAAGGAACAAGCUUCAGCCCAGGGCCCAUCUUGCUGCAGCCAGCUCGUUGCUCAGGAGCUGUAAUCCCUUCCUUUGACUCUCCCCCAGCUGGAGUGCCCCAGUUUCAAACACCACAGGUGGAAGUCUUGGCCCUCACCAGUCAUCGUGUUGCAGAAAUCCCCGUGUCCCUUUGGGAAGUCGGGGUGGGGAUGAGCGAAGUGGUCCUCCGGGAAAUCCCUGCAGAACAUCGUGCUGCAGGCAACUCAGGAAAUUGA
rnacentral:lncRNA from 1 species